UACAGAGGUCCCAAGCGUUGUUCGGAUUCACUGGGCGUAAAGGGUGCGUAGGUGGCAGGGUAAGUUUGAUGUGAAAUCUCCGAGCUCAACUCGGAAACUGCAUUGAAUACUAUCCUGCUUGAGGAUUGGAGGGGGAUGGAAUUCCGCGUGUAGCAGUGAAAUGCGUAGAUAUGCGGAGGAACACCGAUGGCGAAGGCAAUCCCCUGGACCUGUACUGACGCUCAUGCACGAAAGCGUGGGGAGCAAACAGG
rnacentral:rRNA from 1 species